AGAGUUUGAUUCUGGCUCAGAACGAACGCUGGCAGCGUGGAUUAGGCAUGCAAGUCGAACGAGAGUUUUGGAUGUAGCAAUACAGACGAGACAAGAGUGGCGGAAGGGCGAGGAACGCGUGGGCAAUCUACCCCUUGGUUAGGGAUAACCCGCCGAAAGGUGGGCUAAUACCCAAUAUGAUGGUCUGCCGCAUGGUGGAUUGAUCAAAGACGGGGAUCCGUAAGGACCUGUCGCCGAGGGAGGAGCCCGCGUCCUAUCAGCUUGUUGGUGAGGUAACGGCUCACCAAGGCUUACGGGUAGCUGGUCUGAGAGGAUGGUCAGCCGCACUGGGACUGAGACACUGCCCAGACUCCUACGGGAGGCUGCAGUCGAGGAUCAUUCGCAAUGGGCGCAAGCCUGACGAUGCGACGCUGCGUGGAGGAUGAAGGCCUUCGGGUCGUAAACUCCUGUCAUUCGGGAACAAUAAAUUGAUCAUUAACACUGGUUGAAAUUGAUAGUACCGGAAGAGGAAGCCACGACUAACUCUGUGCCAGCAGCCGCGGUAAUACAGAGGUGGCAAGCGUUGUUCGGAUUUACUGGGCGUAAAGGGUGCGUAGGUGGUAUGGUAUGUCGGGCGUGAAAGCUCAUCGCUCAACGGUGAAAUAUCGUCCGAAACUACCAAACUAGAGUGCAGGAGAGGAGAGCGGAAUACUUGGUGUAGCGGUGGAAUGCGUUGAGAUCAAGUAGAACACCGGUGGCGUAGGCGGCUCUCUGGAAUGUAACUGACACUGAGGCACGAAAGUUGGGGGAGCAAACAGGAUUAGAUACCCUGGUAGUCCACGCCCUAAACGAUGUCAACUAGGUGUUGGGAGGGUAAAACCUUUUAGUACCGUAGCUAACGCGAGAAGUUGACCGCCUGGGGAGUACGGCCGCAAGGUUAAAACUCAAAGGAAUUGACGGGGACCCGCACAAGCGGUGGAUGAUGUGGAUUAAUUCGAUGCAACGCGAAAAACCUUACCUACCCUUGACAUGUCAGGAACUUUCCAGAGAUGGAUUGGUGCCCGAAAGGGAACCUGAACACAGGUGCUGCAUGGCUGUCGUCAGCUCGUGUCGUGAGAUGUUGGGUUAAGUCCCGCAACGAGCGCAACCCUUGUCGUUAAUUGCCAUCAUUUAGUUGGGCACUUUAACGAGACUGCCGGUGACAAACCGGAGGAAGGUGGGGAUGACGUCAAGUCCUCAUGGCCCUUAUGGGUAGGGCUUCACACGUCAUACAAUGGUCGGUACAAAGGGUCGCCAACCCGCGAGGGGGAGCCAAUCCCAUAAAGCCGAUCGUAGUCCGGAUUGCAGGCUGCAACUCGCCUGCAUGAAGUCGGAAUCGCUAGUAAUCGUGGAUCAGCAUGUCACGGUGAAUACGUUCCCGGGUCUUGUACACACCGCCCGUCACACCAUGGGAGCGGGUUCCGCCAGAAG
rnacentral:rRNA from 1 species